AGAUUGAACGCUGGCGGCAUGCUUUACACAUGCAAGUCGAACGGUAACAGGCCGCAAGGUGCUGACGAGUGGCGAACGGGUGAGUAAUGCAUCGGAACGUGCCCAGUCGUGGGGGGAUAACGGCAGCGAAAGCUGUGCUAAUACCGCAUACGAUCUAAUGGAUGAAAGCGGGGGACCGAAAGGCCUCGCGCGAUUGGAGCGGCCGAUGUCAGAUUAGCUAGUUGGUGGGGUAAAGGCCCACCAAGGCGACGAUCUGUAGCUGGUCUGAGAGGACGACCAGCCACACUGGAACUG
rnacentral:rRNA from 1 species